rnacentral:lncRNA from 1 species
UCAGAGAACGUACUGAUCAAACUAUGUACCAAAUUGUGAAGCAUACUUAUAUUAUCAUGCCUAUGGAUUCAUCACAACUCAUAGGAGACUUAUUAAGAUAUAUUUUGAGAUAGUUUGAACAGUCCAUAAUGAAUUGAAUCAACAUGAAAUUAUUGAUCGGAGAUUGAAGCUGUGAUCAAAGUCAAUAUUCACUUAUUUAAUGAAAUUUAUGAUGCAGAUGGGCAAUAUUCUAUCUCUCCUCCAAAACAUUCUUCAAUGGCACUGUCAUGGUUACCAUCUUGAUUUUCGGUUUCUUAUUUUUUAACAUGGCCAUUCAACACUGGAUUUUCCUCAUUGAGCAUGAAGAUGUAGCUGAUUAUUU